GGUCUUUAGCGCCGUUUGUAACGCCCUCACUUUUAUUCUGGGGAUUGACGCAGUAUUCCAGUAAUUGGGAAGGGGUUGAUGUGCACCUGGGGGCCUCUUCAAAAGGCUCUGGAGAUAUCACUGUCCUUGGAGAGGCGCUAUCUUGAUCCUGCUGCGUGCCGAGGGGAUGGAAUUCAAGUUCUGAUUUUCUCUGAAGAAUUAUGUAAAGCUUGAUAAGGACGAUGGGGUUUGAUGGAAAGGAGGAAGUAUACACUUUCCUGAACUUUUCCUUUGGCUUCUGUGGGUACCAUGUGACUGAGCACUGCUGACCUUCAGAUCUCACAGUUAAGUAAGGUUAAGGAUCCUUCAAGAUCAUCCAUCUUCUUUCCAUCUCAGACAUGUGACUAAUCUGGAAUUUUAAAUAAAAAGAAAUCAAAUGCUUCUUCUGCCGUAAAUCAAUUCCAUAAGCCACUUCUCCAUGCAGGGUAACAAGGAAUAGAAGUGGAUUUACCCAGCAUUGUCAGGAAAAAAAAUAAUCACCUUGGUUCUACUUCUUUAAUUCUCUGGACAUAAUUUACCUUUAUUUUUUAAUGACUUUGGGUUUAUGAAUAUCAGUUAUUUUUGUCCAUGUGUCUUAUUAUAUUCAGGUUUUAUUGAAACCUAUAAGGCUACUUGUCUCAUAACUGUUGUACUCUAUGUAUACCUACUCUUUCCUUCCUUUUAAAUAUAAUUUUUCCUUUAGAAUCAGGUUAUCAACAAUCAACACAUGUUGCCAUUGUCUUAUUCCUGUUUAGUAUUAAAAUUUAUUAUAGUCCAGAUACUAUCAUAUUCUCUUUUUUUCUCCUUAAAUAAAAAAAGUCUUAUUUUUCCUCCUACAUCUAAUUAAGUUGAAACAUAAAUGUCUUAUUAAAAUAUUUUGACUCAAUGUAAAUGGAAAGUUUUGACCACUGUUUCUGUUCUUCCUUGUGUGAAGAAUUCUACUAAGCAGAUGGGAGUGGGAGAUUUGCAUAAUAAGGUUUUGAAAGGCUCUUGCCAGCCAGGGUUUGUAUCACCACAUACAUACUGCACACACUGACGUUGUUAGGCCUAUUUUAGUGGUAACAUAUCAAAAAAAAAAAAAUGGAUAGGAUUAUGUAAGUAAAUACAGGCUAACACUUUGUGUUCCCUAUACAGAGAGAGUUAAGUAACACCACAUCAA